AGAGUUUGAUCCUGGCUCAGGACGAACGCUGGCGGCGUGCUUAACACAUGCAAGUCGAACGGUAAGACCUUUCGGGGUACACGAGUGGCGAACGGGUGAGUAACACGUGGGUGAUCUGCCCUGCACUUUGGGAUAAGCCUGGGAAACUGGGUCUAAUACCGAAUAGGACUCCGGAUCGCAUGGUCUGGGGUGGAAAGCUUUUGCGGUGUGGGAUGGGCCCGCGGCCUAUCAGCUUGUUGGUGGGGUGAUGGCCUACCAAGGCGACGACGGGUAGCCGGCCUGAGAGGGUGUCCGGCCACACUGGGACUGAGAUACGGCCCAGACUCCUACGGGAGGCAGCAGUGGGGAAUAUUGCACAAUGGGCGCAAGCCUGAUGCAGCGACGCCGCGUGGGGGAUGACGGCCUUCGGGUUGUAAACCUCUUUCAGUAGGGACGAAGCGUGAGUGACGGUACCUACAGAAGAAGCACCGGCCAACUACGUGCCAGCAGCCGCGGUAAUACGUAGGGUGCGAGCGUUGUCCGGAAUUACUGGGCGUAAAGAGCUCGUAGGUGGUUUGUCGCGUUGUCCGUGAAAUCCCACAACUCAAUUGUGGGCGUGCGGGCGAUACGGGCAGACUGGAGUACUGCAGGGGAGACUGGAAUUCCUGGUGUAGCGGUGGAAUGCGCAGAUAUCAGGAGGAACACCGGUGGCGAAGGCGGGUCUCUGGGCAGUAACUGACGCUGAGGAGCGAAAGCGUGGGGAGCGAACAGGAUUAGAUACCCUGGUAGUCCACGCCGUAAACGGUGGGUACUAGGUGUGGGUUUCCUUCCUUGGGAUCCGUGCCGUAGCUAACGCAUUAAGUACCCCGCCUGGGGAGUACGGCCGCAAGGCUAAAACUCAAAGGAAUUGACGG
rnacentral:rRNA from 1 species